GAACUUGGUCCAUCCAAAUGGAUGUGAACUAGGAUUCUAGACUAAAUAUUACAAGUUUUCUAUAUGUUACCUUAAUUGGUUGCAUAUAGUAGCUAGUAAGUUUACCUUGAAAAAAUUAGAGUGCUCAAUGCGGGCUUAAUGCCUGAAUACUCGUGCAUGGAAUAAUAAAAUAGGAUCUUGGUUCUAUUUUGUUGGUUUUCUGAUCUAAGAUAAUGGUUAAGAGGGACGGACGGGGGCAUUCGUAUCGCUACGUGAGAGGUGAAAUUCUUGGACCGUAGCGAGACGUACAACUGCGAAAGCAUUUGCCAAGAAUGUCUUCAUUAAUCAAGAACGAAAGUCAGAGGUUCGAAGGCGAUCAGAUACCGCCCUAGUUCUGACCGUAAACGAUACCAACUA
rnacentral:rRNA from 1 species